rnacentral:rRNA from 1 species
UACGUAGGCAGCGAGCGUUGUUCGGAGUUACUGGGCGUAAAGGGGGUGUAGGCGGUUCUUUAAGUUUGGUGUGAAAUCUCCCGGCUCAACCGGGAGGGUGCGCCGAAUACUGAGGGACUCGAGUGCGGGAGAGGAAAGUGGAAUUCCUGGUGUAGCGGUGAAAUGCGUAGAUAUCAGGAGGAACACCGGUGGUGUAGACGGCUUUCUGGACCGUAACUGACGCUGAGACACGAAAGCGUGGGUAGCAAACAGG